UUGAGAGGCGCAGGGAAAUCCAACAUAUUCGUCGUAUAUAUAAAUUGUCAAGUUACCAAUUGGUUAGUCAAAGUUGAAUCUCGGUGUGAAAUGGCUUCGAAAACUAUAUUCUUGAUCUUCCUAUCCUUUUUGGCGGUAAAUGCAAAACCGGUGACGGUAUCGGUAUCGCAUCCACCAAUUCUACGAUUGCACGCACCAAUCAUAAAUCACGUGCCAAUCAUACAUCAUGCACCAAUCAUACAUCAUUCUCCAAUCAUUUACCAUGCGCCAAUCAUACAUGCUCCGCUUGAUGUGUCUUCUCUAAGUACGCUGUUUCAUCCACUUCAUACACAUUUUUUUUCUUCGCCGUUGCUUUUCAAGUA